GGUUCUGUCAGAGAAGUAAGACCGCCAACUGGCUCACAGGAGAAGCGUCCAUUCCUGAAAAGGAAUUGAGCAAUUCAUUGUUAAAGUAUUACUCACUGCACCACUCAUUUUUACAAAGAUUAGUCUGACUCAUCUUUGGAAUUAGACUUUUAUUCAGUUCUCUUUUCAGUCAGUAAUGAAUAGGAACUUGAAAAUACGAAUACAACUUCAUGUCUAAAUCAUCAGUCUAUAAAGUGAAUGCAUACUGCUAUCCUAUGGGCAGGUUCCCAUUGAAAUCACAGAUUAUACUCUCUGGAUCAAUAACACUAUAUUCAGGCAAUAUAGGUAUUCCAAAAAGUAGCUACAGUAUUAUAUAUUUAUCCUGCCUAUUGCUGACAUAAUUCUUAUAACAAUCUUAAGAUGUAGAACCGGCAGAUGUCAAGGUGUUACUGAAUUGAAGACUGUCACCUUGGCCAUUGCCUAUGAUGCCUGAGGCUAAUGAAAUCUGAAGUCCCAAAAUCAUAAAAACACAGAUUCCCCAACCACAGUACCGAUACAUCCAUUUUUCACUGAUGUAUACUCACAAAGGGAUCUUAUUGCAUCUUUCACACGUACCUGAUGAAGCAGACUUAAGUUUACAAAAAACGAUGCUACUGAUUUAUUUCUCAAGUCUUAAAAGUGUUACAAGAUUCCUUUCCAUACGGACAUAAAUAUACAGGCAUACAGGCCCUAGUUCCAAGGUGGUGUAAGGCUGAUGAAAGGGAUGGAUAUUGUGUGGAAAAGUGACAUUUUGUUCCUCAAAAUGUAUCAGUGUACUGUAUAAAAAUGCAGAAUACAAUUUGGAUUUUUAAUGGUGUGCAUUACUUUGGAGUAACCCUCAUACCAUCUUAUUAAGUGCUGACUUGUUUUUUUUUAAAACUCAAGUCUUUAGCAAUAAGUUAAUCUGAUUCAAAAUUCAAUAUAGCAAUUCAAGACAUUUCUGUAGAUUUAGGGUAUCUUUUCUGCCUAUAACAGCCAAGCUGCCUUGAUCUUACAAGCUGUGCAUAAUUUUUAAACAAGGCAAGAAUAUUAUAAACCUGCCUUAUAGAGGCAACAAUAUGCACAAAUUAUACUUGGAGAAAUUAAAAGCAUUUCCAUGUAUGAAAAAUGUGUCCGUCUAACACUUAGCACAAUUUAAAGAUGCUGUUCACAUUAACUGAAUGAUUAAAGAACAAAAUAACAUAUUAACAUACAUCACUCUGUCUCUUGCCACAUAGGAAACAAGACUUUAAUCUUUUGUAGAUAAUCUUUAACUAAAAAAGAAUUAAAGCAUUAUGGGGACAAAAUCUCAAAUUGCCUAUAAUUUAGAGAAAUGUGCCUGAAACUGGCUGGGACAAUAUUCAGUAAUAAUAUUCAUUUGUUUUGGCGAUAGUGUUUUGGUUGUAUGGCCCCAGGGUAGUUAUUUUUGUAUUGCAAAAUAAAAUACCUGGGUCCAGGUUUUGGAACUUUCCCAGCUUUCAAUUCAUCAAGUAUGUCUUCAAUGUCUUUUGUUGUUAAAU